UACGUAGGGGGCAAGCGUUGUCCGGAUUUAUUGGGCGUAAAGCGCGUGUAGGCGGCCAUGUAGGUCUGACGUGAAAUUCCGAGGCUCAACCUCGGCAGGUCGUUGGAAACCAUAUGGCUAGAGUCCGGGAGAGGAGAGUGGAACUCCUGGUGUAGCGGUGAAAUGCGCAGAUAUCAGGAAGAACACCCGUGGCGAAAGCGGCUCUCUGGGACGGUACUGACGCUGAGACGCGAAAGCGUGGGGAGCGAACAGG
rnacentral:rRNA from 1 species